UUUUGGCGUGUAGAUUAUGAUUGAAAAUGUAGUUGCCUAACGAAAAUAAAAAUAUGCUAGAUUUGUAUAGUUUUAUCUACGGAGUGAUGUGUGAUAAUGUUGAAGGAGUAGCAAGGCAGUUUGGUAAAUGGUAAAGCGGAAAACAAGUACUUGAAAGUAUCGUCUAAAUAAAGUUUUAAGAAAAUGGAACCAAAAAAUCAAGAGCCUGAUAAAAAGCGAGGAUCAAACUCUCUUCUGAAGACCUUUACUAUUCUUGCUUAUUGACCAAUAUUCCAACUUACAGUUUCUACAGUUCAAGAUCUCGAUAGUAACAUGGUUGGUGGUGACUGCAAUAGUUCUAACAAAAAAAUUUACACCAGAAAUCGUUCUGCCAAUCCUGAAGAUCUGAAAGAGUGCCUAGCAGCUAAGCUUUCAUGAUUAAAUUUCCUUUUUUUCCUAAAGAAGGCAAGCCAGCUUAUGCCAUCUAAUUUCAGGGGAAAAGCAGGACUUUUCUGAUAAAAUGAAAACCCAACUUAAACAGAAGUUAGAUAAGUUGGAGAAGAAGAAACUAAACAGGAAAAAU